rnacentral:tRNA from 1 species
GCGGCCGUGGUCUAGCUUGGUUAGGACGGAAGCCUCCCAAGCUUCCAACCCGGGACGGCUUUGCCAAAGGCAAACCGCGGGAAUUCAAAUCUCGGCGGCCGCACCA